rnacentral:lncRNA from 1 species
CCAAGGGCCUCCUUCUGGUCGCUGGGGCAGGCCCUCAUUCAGAGCUGCCUUCCUUUUCUGUUUCAUCUACUUGCCUCUUUCAGUGCCUGGGACUCCCGACCCUCCAGCCCACUCACAGGAAGACGCCAAAUCAUUUUUACAAAUGAUUUUAAAUAAACAGCGUUCGGCUGCAGGCCCUGCUUUCGAUAGCCACAGUGCCUGUUCCCUGGGAAAUCCUCUCUCUCCUCUGAAUGCAGAAAUGGUAGCUGUCAGCAUGGACACGUGCACGCAUGCACACAUGCACAUUCUCCUUUUGGAUUCAUGUCACUCGUUACAUUUUGUGGACUAUAGGCUUUCAGUAUGCUACAUGCUUUCAUAUUAUUUAACCAUCCUCUUAUAAGUGUUAUGCAUGGAAAACAGAUUAAUAAAGAAAAAUUGUUAACAGUUUGGAAAGUCUGAGCAUCUUUCCCCCUAAUAAACCUCUUACAUGUGACAGCCCAGAACUAAUUUUGCUCAGUCUGAUGCCAAGCCUGUGCCCUGCUGCUACACUAAACUGUAUCUCAUGAUUUUUUUCUGUAGAAUGGUGAAAAGAUAGAGUAACACCCAGUAAAAUACAAUGUCA